rnacentral:rRNA from 1 species
UAGAGUGAGAUAGAGGCAAGCGGAAUUCCAUGUGUAGCGGUAAAAUGCGUAAAUAUAUGGAGGAACACCAGAGGCGUAGGCGGCUUGCUGGGUCUUUACUGACGCUGAGGCACGAAAGCGUGGGGAGCAAACAGGAUUAGAUACCCUGGUAGUCCACGCCGUAAACGAUGAGUACUAAGUGUCGGGUAAAACUGGUACUGAAGUUAACACAUUAAGUACUCCGCCUGAGUAGUACGUACGCAAGUAUGAAACUUAAAGGAAUUGACGGGACUCCGCACAAGCGGUGGAUCAUGUUGUUUAAUUCGAAGAUACACGAAAAACCUUACCAGGUCUUGACAUUUUCUUGCGAAGUUAUAGAAAUAUAAUGGAGGUUAUCAGGAAAACAGGUGGUGCAUGGUUGUCGUCAGCUCGUGUCGUGAGAUGUUAGGUUAAGUCCUAAAACGAGCGCAACCCUUGUCGUUAAUUGCCAGCAUGUAAUGAUGGGGACUUUAACGAGACUGCCAAUGAAAAAUUGGAGGAAGGUGGGGAUUACGUCAAAUCAUCAUGCCCCUUAUGAUCUGGGCUACAAACGUGAUACAAUGGUUGAUACAAAGAGUAGCUGAAACGCGAGUUCUUAGCCAAUCUCAAAAAAUCAAUCUCAGUUCGGAUUGAAGUCUGCAACUCGACUUCAUGAAGUUGGAAUCGCUAGUAAUCGCGAAUCAGC